rnacentral:rRNA from 1 species
AGAGUUUGAUCAUGGCUCAGGACGAACGCUGGCGGCGUGCUUAACACAUGCAAGUCGAACGGAAAGGCCCCUUCGGGGGUACUCGAGUGGCGAACGGGUGAGUAACACGUGGGUGAUCUGCCCUGCACUUUGGGAUAAGCCUGGGAAACUGGGUCUAAUACCGAAUAGGACCGCAUGCUUCAUGGUGUGUGGUGGAAAGCUUUUGCGGUGUGGGAUGGGCCCGCGGCCUAUCAGCUUGUUGGUGGGGUAAUGGCCUACCAAGGCGACGACGGGUAGCCGGCCUGAGAGGGUGUCCGGCCACACUGGGACUGAGAUACGGCCCAGACUCCUACGGGAGGCAGCAGUGGGGAAUAUUGCACAAUGGGCGCAAGCCUGAUGCAGCGACGCCGCGUGGGGGAUGACGGCCUUCGGGUUGUAAACCUCUUUCAGUAUCGGCGAAGCUCCAGGAUUUUUCUUGGGGUGACGGUAGGUACAGAAGAAGCACCGGCCAACUACGUGCCAGCAGCCGCGGUAAUACGUAGGGUGCGAGCGUUGUUCGGAAUUACUGGGCGUAAAGAGCUCGUAGGUGGUUUGUCACGUUGUCCGUGAAAACUCACAGCUUAACUGUGGGCGUGCGGGCGAUACGGGCAGACUGGAGUACUGUAGGGGAGACUGGAAUUCCUGGUGUAGCGGUGGAAUGCGCAGAUAUCAGGAGGAACACCGGUGGCGAAGGCGGGUCUCUGGGCAGUAACUGACGCUGAGGAGCGAAAGCGUGGGGAGCGAACAGGAUUAGAUACCCCGGUAGUCCAA